CAGAGAUUCCCUCCAAAAGCUGCCUCCCGCACCUUCCUCAGGAACCUUGGAGAGGGCAAGUUAUUCCAACCCAGAACCUUGGAAGGCCUCGGGAGGAGCCUGUGUGUGAGGUGCUGGCUGCUGAGGAAGAGCUUUCCCACAGUCCACACCAAAGAUAAUACUUCCCGAACAAGAGGCUGAGACAGAGGAAAGACUGGUGAAGCAGACAAGCUAACCAACCAGACAGAAAAUUGGACGCUCAUCCACAUGGCAAAUGUCGUCUUUGUUGAAAGACUCCUUUAAUAUGAAGCUAUUCUGGGGCAAUUUCAACAAGAGUUCGAGUUACAAAAGCACAUUUUGUGAGCAUAUAGAUUCCAUGUGCUCAAGGGACACGCGUGGUACAUGGACAGUUUCAGAGCUGACUUCUAAGGAAGAUGAGGACACCAAGGCCCAGAGAGGUUAAGAAACCUGCCCAAGGACACACAGCUAGUAAGUGAGAGAAGCCAGAUACAUGGCUU